AUUGAACGCUGGCGGCAGGCCUAACACAUGCAAGUCGAGCGAGCGGCGGACGGGUGAGUAAUUUAUGGGGAUCUGCCCGAUAGAGGGGGAUAACUACUGGAAACGGUGGCUAAUACCGCAUACUAUCGGAUCAACCCACAUGGGAUUAGCUAGUAGGUGGGGUAAAGGCUCAACAAGGCGACGAUCCCUAGCUGGUCUGAGAGGAUGAUCAGACACACUGGGACUGAGACACGGCCCAGACUCCUACGGGAGGCAGCAGUGGGGAAUAUUGGACAAUGGGCGCAAGCCUGAUGCAGCCAUGCCGCGUGUAUGAAGAAGGCCUUAGGGUUGUAAAGUACUUUCAGCGGAGAGGCGUUACCCGAAGAAGAAGCAACGGCUAACUCCGUGCCAGCAGCCGCGGUAAUAC
rnacentral:rRNA from 1 species